rnacentral:lncRNA from 1 species
UUCACUCUCGGCUCUGCUAAUAUCCUGCUAGCAGCGGACUCUUUUAGCUUCUUUGAGCAUUCCUUCAAUGUAUUUCGGGUCGUCUGCAAUGUACGAAGACCUGUGCUCAGAGUGUUAGUUUCUUCAGAUUUGACAGAUGAAAUGGAUGUAAAAUGCUCAAUGGAAUGCCCGGUGCAUAAUAACCCCCGAAAUAACCAUUAUCAUUUAUUAGUUACUAUUUUUAUUUUAAAUACAACAAAUUUAUGAAGUAAAAGUAAUCCCAUUGUAAAAUGAGGAAAAUGAGACCGAGACGUUAAGGAGCUGAAUUUCGCACAGAUGAUAAAUGAUGGCAGUGGGAUUUGAACACAGGUAGUCCUUUUAAUUCAGUACUGUCUCCCAAAUUGUAGAUAUCCCAACAUUAUGUAGGCACAAUUAAGGAAUACGUGUUGUAGUGUAGUUGCAAACUAGGGUGGCACAUUAUUACUAAGAUGCUUGAGUAUCUAUUGAAAAUUUUAAGUACAAAAGACAUCAGAGGAGAAUUUUUUGUGGCUUUUGCAGGUUCUGAUUGUAACUGUCUCAGCUUAAGAGGCGAGGAAAUGAGAACUAAGAAGCACGUUUUUCACCUGAUAAGAAUAAAUUAAGUGGAAGAAUUGAACUUUCAUAGUAUGGCUGCUGAGGGAUCAACACAUAUGGUUGGAAGAUGAAAUUUCCAUUGAUUCCCCAGCGUGAGAGAGUGCAGGCAGCACCAUGUGAGUUUCUGCAUUUUGUCUCUCAGCCAUUGCAGCCCUGACCCAUUCCACGAGGGGUGAAAGGUCACAAGUGCUAUGUGAGUGGUGUUUAAUUUUCACCACAACUGAGACUGCUAAUCACAUAACAUUAGGGUGAAUUAUGGUGAUUAUUGCAGGCUGAACACAGAGAGAUUAAACAAUAACAGCAACACAACCACAGCUGUGAUGGUAGUGAUGAAAAGAUGGUGCUUUCAUGACCCCAUGCUAAAGGGUUUGAUUGGGAUUCUGGAAGCCUCUGGUGAAAGACACUUUGCCCUCUCCAGGCUAGCUUUUUCCUAAACCACCACUAUAUUAAGCAGAGUGACAAUAACCCAUUUUAACAGUUUCUAGUAAUGGAAAGGGCUCAAAACAUUCUCCUUCAGAAUGCCCAAGUCUCAUUAGUCUACAGAGUAAACAUGCACUCCAGAGUCACUGCUUUCUAGAAAGUCUUCACUUCUUUUAAAGCUGUUAGCUUCUGUACCCUGCAUGGAUUUUUUUCUUUUAAAAAUCUUUUGCUAAGUAUAGUUGAUUUACAAUGUUGUGUAAGUUUAAGAUGUAUAGCAAAGUGAAUGAGUUAUACAUAUACAUAUAUCCAAUCUUUUUAAAGUUAGCUUUAUUUUAUAAUUUUUAUUGGGGUAUCGUUGGUUUACAAUGUUGUGUUAGUUUCAGGUGUACAGCAAAGUGAAUCUGUUAUAUAUAUAUAUAUAUAUAUCUGCUCAUUUUUAGAUUCUUUUCCCAUAUAGGUCAGUACAGGAUAAUGAGUAGAGUUCCUUGUGCUCUACAGUAGGUCCUUAUUUAUCUAUUUUAUAUAUAGUUAUCUAGUUUAUAUAGAGUAGUGUGUAUAUGACAAUUCCAAUCUCCUGAUUUAUCCCUCCCACCUUCUUUCUCCCCUGGUAACCAUGUUUGUUUUCUACAUCUGUGACUCUGUUUUAUGAAUAACUUAAUUUGUACUAUUUUUUUAAGAUUCCACAUAUAGGUGAUAUCAUAUAUGUCUUUCUUUGUCUGACUUCACUCAGUAUGACAAUCCCUAGGUCCAUUCAUGUUGCUGCAAAUUGCAUUAUUUGUUCUUUUUAAUAGCUGAAUAGUAUUCCAUUAUAUGUAUAUGCACCACAUCUCCUUUAUCCGUUCCACUAUCAAUGGAUAUUUAGGUUGCUUCCACAUUCUGGCUAUGUGAAUAGGGCUGCAGUGAACAUGGGGUGCACCCUACAUGGAUUUUUAAUUUGUUUGGUCUCGUUUUUUCUUUUCUACAUAUGUAGCCCGUGUAAUGGAUUCUAUGUUCCUUAGGAAAAUUUGAGGAAUAAUUAAGGAAAAGAGGCUAUUACUAGGUGUUUUUAAAAUUUAAUAAAAAUUGCUUAGAUGGGAGGCUGCCUGAUUCA